UACGAAGGACCCGAGCGUUAUCCGGAUUUAUUGGGUUUAAAGGGUGCGUAGGCGGAUUAGUAAGUCAGUGGUGAAAGCCCAUCGCUCAACGGUGGAACUGCCAUUGAUACUGCUAGUCUUGAGUAUGGUUGAGGUGGGCGGAAUGUGUCAUGUAGCGGUGAAAUGCUUAGAUAUGACACAGAACACCAAUUGCGAAGGCAGCUCGCUAAACCAUAACUGACGCUGAGGCACGAAAGCGUGGGGAGCAAACAGG
rnacentral:rRNA from 2 species